CCCUACUCAUUAAGAAUUAUAAAUUGGCUAUAAGCACAGAUGUAUAAGUAAAAUCUAAGGAAAAGUAUAAGAGGAAAGUUGUCAAUUGUCCAGAUUACAAAUGCUGAAAGAUUUCAAAGAUAUAUUGACCACCAAGAGUUGGCAUAUUUAAGAAAGACUUCUCAGAGAUCAAGACUCAACCUGAGGGAAAGUCAUCUGCAAACCAGGAAGGGGACCCGCAUCAAACGCCAGAUCUGCAGGCACCUUGAUCUUGGACUUCUCAGUCUCCAGAACUGGUUCCUGAAGUGCUAGUAAGAUAUGAAGAAUGUUCUGGAGUCCAAUGACACAGAUUCAUGAAGAGAGAGCAUGAGGCAAAUUCUCUUGGAAACAGUCUAGUCUUUUCAUAGGCAUUCACCAAGACCAUCAAUGGGUCUAACUCAGUGUGAAAAUCACCUGCAAGCUUACUGUCCAUGUGUGCACUGAGGCAAUGAGGAAGUCACAUAUGCAUGGAUGGAUGGAUGGACAAUAGCAAGAUGGUAGGACAGAUGGAUGGAUGGCUGCAUGGAACAACUCUUGAUUUAGAGAUGACUACUUCAAGCUACCACUAGCUCUGCUAGGCUUUGGCUUCAUUGCAAGUUUAAUUUCACAAAAUGAAGGAUUACUUUUUAACCACAGUCUCACAGUUGCAUCUUGAUAAAAGGCAAAUAAAAUAAAAACCAUCCAUAACAGACUGGAACACUGUCUCAGAAGAAACUUGCUGCACCCACGAGUUAUAUUCCUUCUGAGUGUGUGGAAAGAUUUCUGCCCACUGCUUUUCCCUUUCCCUACAUGUCACUGUUUCUUCUUUGAGGGAUUAUCUGA